rnacentral:rRNA from 1 species
AUGAUUGAGCCAUCAAGGGUGAGCGUAGAAGGAAAUGUUAAGAGUUGUAGAGUUCAUGAUAUCAUGCGUGAUGUCAUGGUGUCAAUUUCAAGAGAUGAAAAUUUUGUGUACUUGGCUGGAGAAAAUGUAACCAGUGUAGCAGAGAACUUCCGGCAUGUAGCAUUCCAUUGUAGAAGCAACAAUGAUUUAGGCAUGGACUGGUGCCAUGUUCGGUCAUUAACAAUGUUUAGUGAGAGACCCAAAGAGCUACCACCUUCACUUUGUUCACCCAACUUGAGAAUGCUUAGAGCUUUGGAUCUAGAAGGUGCACAAUUUAGAGUAACAGAGAAAGAUAUCAGCAACAUAGGAGUAUUGCGCCACUUGAAAUACAUGAAUCUUUCGUAUCCCAAAGGGUAUUCAAAUAUUUAUAAACUUCCAAGGUGUAUAGGAAAACUACAAGGCUUGCAGAUUUUGGACAUACGAGACACUUAUAUUUCAACCCUCCCAGUUCAAGUCAGUAAACUCCGGAGUCUCCGUAGCCUUCGUUGUUGCAAAAAUACAGUGCAUUCCAACUUCGGCCCACAUAGCCCUAGUGAACAGCUGGCAAAGAUCAGGCCGCCGCCCGUGCCCAUGAUAGUUACACCUGUAUAUGGUCCGGCCCAGGGUAACAGGGUCAAUGUGGUCUCUGGUGUACAAAUGGCCUACUCUAGCCGUUGGUUUGAGUCAGCGGGUGUGAGUUUGCCAAGAGGUAUUGGUAACUUAAAAGAGUUACUUAUACUGGAGGUUGUUGACAUCACACGAACUAGUGGAAAAGCAGUGAAAGAGAUGGGGGAGCUUACGCAGCUAAGAAAACUAAGUGUGGUAACACAAGGUGCCACCGAGGAAAAAUGUAAGCUCCUUUGUGUAGCUAUUCAGAAGCUCUCUUCACUGCGCUCUCUUCGCAUGGAAGCUAAUGGACGGGGUAAUGGCCAUGGAACACUUGAGUGGCUGCAUUCUCUUGUGUCUCCUCCACCCCUCCUGAAGACCCUGAACUUGGUUGGAAGUCUUGGAGAAGAGAUGCCCGCUUGGGUGGGAAGUCUGAUGCAUUUGGUGAAGGUUUACUUUGAGUACAACCGGCUGAAGGAAGAAAGUAAAACCUUGGAAAUACUAGGGACACUGCCGAAUCUCAUUCUCUUUCGUCUUGGGUGGGAUUCUUAUGUUGGAGACAAGCUAGUCUUUAAAGCGGAAGCAUUUCCAAGCCUGAUGACACUUGAUAUAUGGGGCCUCAAUCAACCAAGACAGUUGGCUUUUGAGAAGGGCUCCUCCCCUAAGCUGGAAACGGUACAAAUAUCUGGAGUCUUGCUGAGAUUGGGGAUUAUUGGUAUCAAGCACCUUCCAAGUCUCAAGGAGAUUACCCUUGGAGACUUUGCUCACGUGGCGAAUCUUGCCGUGCUGCGAAAUGAAGUGGACAUACACCCGAACCGUCCCAUGCUGCGACUGGCAGAGGGGCGGACCAGCCAUGACCUUGGAAGGAUCCCCAAAGGCUCCAAUGUACAAGUGAUAGAAGAAAAUGAAGAAUUAGAACCACCCCAAAUCCAUGAGCCUGCAGAAACAGGAGAGACCUCCUCGCAGACAUCGACGAGUGGGACCAACAGUGAAGACGAUGAACUUGAGGAUGUCCAAGGAUCUAAUGUUGUAAAAGUCGACGAAACAGAGGAGGAAUCAGCCCUCGCUCCUGAGACUGGGACGGCAGGAGAGAGCUCACAACCAGAGGUGGUGCUGGCCAUGCCGACAUCAAAAGACAGUGAAGGAGAAGGAUCUAAUGUUGUACAAGUAGAAGAAACAGAGGAGGAGCCAGUCCUCCUUCCUGAGAUUGGUACGGCGGGAGAGAGCUCACAAUCAGAGGUGGUGGAGGUCAUGUCGACAAUGGAAGUCAGCGAGAUCAAUGGCCAAGUGCAUGUCGAAUUUGAAGGCUUCUCUGUGGUGGAAGACGACGAAGAUGAUUUCUGCUCUUGCAUUUCUGAUGACCUGCAAGAUAAUCUUUCUUAG